rnacentral:rRNA from 1 species
GCCCAAAUAAGGGGAACCCCUGACUAAGCCAUAAAGGGGGAAA